rnacentral:rRNA from 1 species
UACGUAGGGUGCGAGCGUUAAUCGGAUUUACUGGGCGUAAAGAGCGUGUAGGCGGGCUGUUAAGUCAGGUGUGAAAGACCGCAGCUCAACUGCGGGGUGGCACUUGAUACUGGCAGUCUUGAGGGCAGGAGAGGGAAGUGGAAUUCCUGGUGUAGCGGUGAAAUGCGUAGAUAUCAGGAGGAACACCAGUGGCGAAGGCGGCUUCCUGGACUGACCCUGACGCUGAGACGCGAAAGCGUGGGGAGCAAACAGG